UACGAAGGGUGCAAGCGUUACUCGGAAUUACUGGGCGUAAAGCGUGCGUAGGUGGUGAGUUAAGUCUGUCGUGAAAGCCCCGGGCUCAACCUGGGAAUGGCGAUGGAUACUGGCUCGCUAGAGUGCGGUAGAGGAGAGUGGAAUUCCCGGUGUAGCAGUGAAAUGCGUAGAGAUGUGGAGGAACACCAGUGGCGAAGGCGACUCUUUGGUCUGUAACUGACGCUGAGGCGCGAAAGCGUGGGGAGCAAACAGG
rnacentral:rRNA from 1 species